GGAGAGCUGGCCGAGUGGCUGAAGGCGCACCGCCUGGAAAGUGUGUAUAGGUUUAUCCCUAUCGAGGGUUCGAAUCCCUCGUUCUCCGCCA
rnacentral:tRNA from 1 species